rnacentral:rRNA from 1 species
ACGCUCGACACCUACGGAGGCAGCAGUCGGGAAUAUUGCGCAAUGGAGGAAACUCUGACGCAGUGACGCCGCGUAUAGGAAGAAGGUUUUCGGAUUGUAAACUAUUGUCGUUAGGGAAGAUACAAGACAGUACCUAAGGAGGAAGCACCGGCUAACUAUGUGCCAGCAGCCACGGUAAUCUGAGCGGGCUGGCAAGGC